ncrna:Vibrio shilonii AK1 Fluoride riboswitch
UGCAACCAAGGUGAUGGGGUUCCACCUACUUAACCGCCAAAUCGGCUGAUGACUCCUACAGUUUC